UUACCAUGCAGUCGAACGGGUGAGGGAGCAACCCCUUGAGAGUGGCGAACGGGUGAGUAAUGUAUCGGAACGUGCCCAGUCGUGGGGGAUAACGUAGUGAAAAUUACGCUAAUACCGCAUACGAUCUAUGGAUGAAAGCGGGGGAUCGCAAGACCUCGCGCGAUUGGAGCGGCCGAUAUCAGAUUAGGUAGUUGGUGGGGUAAAGGCUCACCAAGCCAACGAUCUGUAGCUGGUCUGAGAGGACGACCAGCCACACUGGAACUGAGACACGGUCCAGACUCCUACGGGAGGCAGCAGUGGGGAAUUUUGGACAAUGGACGCAAGUCUGAUCCAGCCAUUCCGCGUGCAGGACGAAGGCCUUCGGGUUGUAAACUGCUUUUGUACGGAACGAAAAAGCUCUUAUUAAUACUAGGAGUCCAUGACGGUACCGUAAGAAUAAGCACCGGCUAACUACGUGCCAGCAGCCGCGGUAAUACGUAGGGUGCAAGCGUUAAUCGGAAUUACUGGGCGUAAAGCGUGCGCAGGCGGUUAUAUAAGACAGAUGUGAAAUCCCCGAGCUUAACUUGGGAACUGCAUUUGUGACUGUAUAGCUAGAGUACGGCAGAGGGGGAUGGAAUUCCGCGUGUAGCAGUGAAAUGCGUAGAUAUGCGGAGGAACACCGAUGGCGAAGGCAAUCCCCUGGGCCUGUACUGACGCUCAUGCACGAAAGCGUGGGGAGCAAACAGGAUUAGAUACCCUGGUAGUCCACGCCCUAAACGAUGUCAACUGGUUGUUGGGUCUUCACUGACUCAGUAACGAAGCUUACGCGUGAAGUUGACCGCCUGGGGAGU
rnacentral:rRNA from 1 species